GAUGAGAACGUAGCGAAAUGCGAUAAGUAAUGUGAAUUGCAGAAUUCAGUGAAUCAUCGAAUCUAUGAACGCACAUUGCGCCCGCCAGUAUUCUGGCGGGCAUGCCUGUUCGAGCGUCAUUUCAACCAUCAAGCCCCAGGCUUGUGUUGGGGACCUGCGGCUGCCGCAGGCCCUGAAAACCAGUGGCGGGCUCGCUGUCACACCGGGCGUAGUAGAUUUUAUCUCGCUCAGGGCGUGCUGCGGGUUCCGGCCGUUAAAAAGCCUUUUUUACCCAAGGUUGACCUCGGAUCAGGUAGGAAGACCCGCUGAACUUAAGCAUAUCAAUAAGCGGAGGA
rnacentral:misc_RNA from 1 species